UUUAAAUAGAGUGAGCAAGCAUAUAAUUAGGCUUGGGUUUCUCUUACAGCUUGUUUCAAGAUGUUCCAAAGAUCUGUAUUCAAAAGAGUGAAUCAAACUGGAGGAGAAGAACCGAGGAUAUCAUGUCUUGUUCUAUAUUCUGAGGAAGAACAGAAAUGAAGUCGGCCAUGUUUUGCAAAAUUGGCAAGAUCAUGAAGAUG
rnacentral:lncRNA from 1 species